rnacentral:lncRNA from 1 species
AUUGCAUCACCAGGUUCAGUCACUUGUUCACAAGGGAGCUUAUCUUGUUUUGCAUGAAAAUGUCUUUUUAAGUCUUUGAAUAAAGUAUUGUCUUGUGUUUAUGGGGGAUCAUGUUCUUGUUUCUAGACUUAGGUAAUCAAUUGAGUGACUUCAACUUGAUCAGGGCUUUAUAUCAGAUGUAUCAAUGGUUGAUGAAGUAUGUUAAUGAGAUAAAUUUUUUCUGUUAAAGAAGUGGCUUUAUUUAUUCUUUUUGUGGUAUGGUGGGUCCAUGCGACUUGUAUGUUGCUUAUAAUUGUUGGAACUUCUUUGUACUCGUGGAAUCCAUGGACAACAUACUUCUGCUACGUGCUGGAACUUGACGGCAAUGAAGUAUGCGAGGUUCCAUUGCCAUGGUAAUGCAGAAGUGAGAUAGACGGCAAUGUACUUGGUGCGGGGGUUUUUAGUUGGCUACUUUUGCUUGACUCGUUUCUAACAACCAAAGUUUACGAAGUAAUUGUGAUGAAAGACUAUGGCAUUGUAGAAUGUUGGACUCCUUUGUUUGAGAUCUUGAAUUUGACAUUCUUUGAGUUCUACCCUAACUGAAAUUUGAUGCCACUGAUGCGUGUGGAAAAUGGUCAUGUGUUAAUUGUUAAUGGCGGGUUAAUGUUUAGUUACAACCUUCAAACAGUGGAAUACAAUCAUGAUUAUCCCGAAGUGUCUAAUGGAUGUACCCAAAAGUUUAAGCUACCCCGUUCGGCAAAGGCAGAUCGAAGGACAGUCGGACCCUGAAUCAGAAGGGGAAUAUUCCAAAUUUCCAUCCCAAAGAAGAGGAAUGCUCAAUGGACCAUGAUUAUGGGAGAGCAUUUACCGGACCAUCAUUCAGAAGUGGACUUUAGGGAAUUUGAGUUUUUCAUGAAUUACCACUUUCCGCAUUCAUUUAAAAAAUAAAAAAUAAAAAAUCUGAUGUUGUCCCCUGUUGUGUAUUUACCCUCUCAAUGUUUUCUAUAAAACUUGUGCAAAGAUCAUUCUACUUAUAAGCCUUCGAUCUUCUAAGAAACAAAUUAUGCUACAAAUUGCCAGAUAACUACAUGGAUUUAGGGUUUCGACUCCAUGUUCUUGAUUUUUCUGAUCAUAGUCCCCUUAUUUGCUCAAUUAGCUAACACUACAAGAAAAAAGGUCAUUAGUGACAACAUUUCUUUGUGAUGACAAAAAGUCGUCACAAAAUGAGGUUGUUUAGUCACAACUUUGAAGGUUGUCACAAUUGAAUCAAAACAACUAAUUUUUCAGUGACAACCCUUAAUUGUCGUCACAAAACUACUUCGCGCCAUGGGACUUGGAAGGCGCGAGUUUUGUGAUAGUGACAACUUGAUAAAAGUUGUCAGUAAUUCUAUCUCUUUUUUGACAGCUUUUCAUUGUUGUCACUGUUUAUAUUUAUUGAUGACCAUUUUUUGUCAGUAAAACUAUAGCGUAGUUAAUGACAACAUAGUAUCAUCACUAACUUGAACAUCUCCAAUGCAUUUAUUUAAUUGUGAGCCUCAAUAUUAAUUUAAUUUUUUUAAAAAUUUGAUGAUUUAUUAAACUAGUCAUAGUUACUCAAAAAAUAAUAGGUUUUUAACUGAAAAAAUUAAUAAAAGUUUCUAGUUAGAACAACUAUAUAAACUAUUACAACUUGAGAAAGAGUACAUUUACCAGUUCUUUGAAUUUAGCAAAAAAUUUCAUCUAUUAUAAUUUUUUAAUAAAUAUGUUAAGAUGUAGUUAUUAGAAAUACAUUAGUAAAUUUAAAUAAAAAUUGAAGCUAAAAAUUGACUUGGAUUGUCUUGAUUGAGUAGUACCAGAAAUUUGUUCAAACUAAAAAUGAAAAAAAGUGGCACGGGUACUAUAAAGGAACCGCUCUUACUCCCCACAUCCAGAUGUCUUCAGUACUCUUCACACUCUCAAUCCUUCAGUCAACUUCUUUAUUCUCAACCCCAUUUAUUCAUUUUCCAAACCCUUGCAGCAAUGGAGGCGGGCAGGCAGCCAAGAGAAUACAGAACAUUGGUGAUAGAAAGGGAAACGGGGCCUCACGAAUUCCAUUUCAGACCAAUUCACGGCUACAAUUAAAAGCAUCAGAAAGAGAAAAUGACACUGUCAUUUCUGCAGAACCGGUUGCAAUGUGAUGUGGGUAAAACAUUGGAAUAGAAAACAUAGAGACCCAACCCCAGAAAGAUGAAUGGAUCCCCUCAAACCCCUUAUCUCCUCCUCCCAUUUGCCAUCCAGGACAAGGAGGGCAUCCCCCCAGACCAGCAGUGCCUCAUCUUCACCGACAAGUAGCUGGAGGAUGUUGCACCCUAGUCGACUACAACAUCCAGAAGGAGUCCACCAUCCACCUCAUCCUCCGCCUCCGCAGUGGCACCAAGAAACGCAAGAAGAAGACCUACACCAAGCCCAAGAAGAUCAAGCACAAGAAGAAGAAGGUCAAGCUUGCCGUCCUCUAGUUCUACAAGGUCAAUGCUUAGCUAGGUCCUCUCAUGUCUCUACUUGUUUCCCUAAUUUUCCCCAAUUAAUUUGCCUAAAUUUUUUCCCCAAGUAUAUUUUUGCAAAAUUUUUGGUGGCUAGUUUGAGUCGUGGAUUUAAUCAUCUCUUUCUGCAACAUUUUGCAAAAUUUGCCCUAAUUUUUUUUUCACAAAAUUUUUUUGGUGAAGGAAUUCAAGGUAGGGGAUGAAGUAUUCGGAGAGAUUCACGAGCAUGCUUUGUACCCAAAGGGAUGUGUGUCACUGGCGGAGUACAAUACAUUGGAGGAGAAGGUACUAGCUUCGAAGCCCAAGAAUUUGAGUUUUGCCGAGGCAGCUAACCUUCCUGUUGCCGUUGAAAUAGCGUACGGGGGAACUUGAAAGCACUGGGCUUUCAGCUGGUAAAUCACUUCUUGUUCUGGGUGGUGCUAGUGGAGUUGGAUCUUUUAUCAUUCUGGUAAAAAUUUUGGCCUUUCUUUUUUCUUCGUUCAGCUUUAUCAUUUUCCUUGAAUAAUUUUGGGUUUCUUCAUUGUCUAGGUCUAUGCAACUGCUACUGUCUUUCUUGUAGUUUUUUUGGAGAGGAAGCGAAAUUUCCUGACGCAGUGUAGUGGAGGUAGCUUUUUUUUUUUACCAGUCAUUUAUAUCUAUUUUUAUUGUCUCUCUGCUAUAAGUUUUUAGUAUUCCAUUUUGAUGGACGAGCUUUUUUUUUUUAAACUGUAAAAGUAUUGGAAAUAAUUCAGAUAGGUUGUCUCCAAUUGAGUCAAAAAGUGCAUUGGUUGGGAAUGAGCCAAAAAAUGAAGGGUUAUUGUCUGCUACAUCCUGCUCACAUAGCAAGCUGCUGAGGGUUUGAACUGAUACUGCUAAGCUUUUUUUCUUGCAAAACCUUUUCUCUAAGCUAACAGUAUUGAUUGCAGUUGUACUAUAUGUUUCCUAUUGUAAUGCAAAAAUACAUAAGGAGUUAUCCAAAUGAGUAAAAGCUUUUUUAGUGAUAGCAUCUGGAUGUAUCUCUCUCUGAAACUAAUCAAUUCCUAUAUCAAUAGAUAGUCUUUUGCCACCAUUCAUGUGUUGUUGCACAUUUUGCCACCAUUAAUCUGUUGUUCUGUUUUGGACAUAAUUUACUCUCUUCAUUUAUUUUCAGAACUAGUGAAAUAUGCUAUAUUUAUUGAUUUAUUCUUAUUCAGAAAAUUGUAGGUUUUAAAAUCCUUCUGUUGUAUGUCUUGAUCCCACAAAAAAGUUGCAGGGGAAGGGGUUGGUUGCUGCCAAUCCUAUUGCUAUGUUGUUAUGCCAAGAUUGGCUAACAGUUAAUUGAGGAAUUAAAGAAAUGGGGAGGCAGAAUGUGGGUUGAAUAAUAGACUAAAAGCUGGUAGUAGUGUUACUUUGAAGGGUAUGAUUAAUGUAUGAAUCUUAAACCUGGACCUAGCAACUGGUAUACCAAAUUUUUUGGUUUAUUGUGGUUGAAAGAUUGGAUGCCCCUAGUAGUGGUGGUUAACUACCUGAUACUUUCUCCAUCAAAAUCUGUUUUUCAUUUUUUUAAAUAUCUUUUUAUUUUUUUGAGCUACAUUGCUCUAUCAAUGUGUGUGUGCGUGAGACUGCUAGAGAGAGCUUGCUGAAGCUGAGACAGAACAAGAACAUUUGAAUCAUUUAGAUGACUGAUUAAAAAGUUGCUCCUGCAUUCUUUGAAAUAAAAUAUCCAUUUACAGCACGAAUUUUGGUCAUAAGUUUGUUCAGUAAGAUUUUGUAAUGUUUUUUUGUCCUGUAACUUACUAAGAUAGGUUGCUUAAAUACCAUGAAUCUAUGAAGAUGGCACUUAAAAUGUUUUAUCUGGUUGUCUUAUCCAGGGUGUGAAGAAUGAGAAAGAAGAAUUUGGGCUGAUUUUCAUUUUGAUUUUGAAUGAGAAACUUUGUUUUCAUAUUUUGUCUAUGUUACUUUAAGUAUCCAAAAAUGAGUGUGAGAAUUACAUACUUGUUAUCAUGUCUCUUCCAAAGUUCUAUGUUUUGUUGGUCAAGUAUGUUAGCCAACAGAACUUUUUUUUUUCAGAUUCAAUAUUAAAUGUAUGUCUCAAAGAAAAGUUACUUAGAUAUUCCUAUCAAUUGACUUUCUUCUUGAUUAAUGUGCAUGUUAGAUUGAGCAGGCUUUUAAUCUAACGCAAUGCUUUGAAAACUAGCCUUCAAAUCAGUGAACCUAAAAUAACCAAUAUUUUUAACUUUAAACUUUCAUUUACUUUGGUGCAAAUCUGUCAAUUCUGUCUUUUUUCUAUUAAUAAUGGUUCAUUUGUGAUUUGUUGUUCUGGAAUUAGAUAGCUUCAAAUAUUUUGCAAGAGUUGAUCAACAUUCAUAAUGAUGCAAAAGUCAUAUAAGCAAUCCAAGAUUAGGUCGGAGAUGAUAAGGCUAUCUUUAUUGAGCGAACAGUAGUAAAAUCCAUAUGUUUAUUUUUUUUUCCCUUAAUUUCCAAUAGUUUAAAACACCCUGGUAAAAUCAGAUGUAUUGGUCAGUUCCAAAGAAUUAGUGAUAAUUAUUGAGGAUCAAUAAAACAAGUUGUAGCAGUACUGUGCUAAGCCAUCCUUGGCAGAGACAAAGAAAUGUUUAUAACUUUGUAUGAAUCAAAAUUUCAUAUAGUAGCAGGUUAGGUUUUGGCUUAGUAGCAGUUUUAGGUUUGGCUUUUGAAUUACUAGAUAAUUGAAAAGCAGUUCUGAAGGUUAACCUUUGAUUAGAAUCUUUGGUUGCUAUCUUGUUUCUAGCACUAAAGCUUCCAUCAAUUUUGAUGUUUGAGAGGGUGCUAUUGUGAGGAUCCGAAAAUUUUCUUAUUUCGUCAUAUAUUACUGGUUUAUUAAAUAGUUAUUCACUCAUUUUCUCCGAGUUAUUUAAUUCGACUACUUAAAAUCCAUUUUAUGGAAAAACACCUCUCUUAUGUUGUUAAAGCGUUUUGUUAGAAAAUUUACUUUUCGAAAUCGUUUAGUUCGGAAACGAGUAUACGUUUUUUGAGACUAUAUUUGAAUCGAGAGUAUAUUAAUUUUGAGAAGUAAGAAUGAUCAUAGUAGAUUAAGAAAAGUUAACUUGAGAUUUGAGGAGUUAAAACUCGACUCAUGUGAGGACUCGCAAAUUUAUUUUUUAAAUUCCAUUUCGAGCUUAUUUAAUAUUUAAUUGCCCAUUUACUCCGAAUAUUAUUUUCUAGUCAUUUAGACCUAAUUACAUGAGUUUAUAGCUUCGUUAUAAUUUUAAAGUGACUCGUUUCAAAUUUAAUUUUUGAAAACUCGUGAAGUGAAAAUAGCGAAUACGCGAUUGGAGUUAAUAAUCAAUUCGAGAAUACACUAAGUUUGGAAAUUAGAGACUUGCAGGAUGGACUUAAAAAUAGGUAAUUUUAUGUUUAAGUACUUAAGUGAUAGUUAUUAGUACUAUCGUUACAAAAUUCUUGGAAGUUUCGCUUUAUUGCGCUUAAUUUGGAGAUACGCGUUUUUACGCGCGCGAUUAAUUGAGGAACUAAAGCCAUUAUUUUUGGACUAUUAAAACUGAAUAACAAUAGUAUGUAUACAAGUGCAUUAGAGGUUUAGUGCACUAGUGAAAUAAACUCGAGAGGAAUCAGAGCACAAAACGUGCGCGUACGCGCACUAUUCCUAAUUGACUUUUGAAACAAACUUUGGCCAAAUCUUAAAGCUUCUCACGGAAGCUUAUUAUCAGCAAUUGCUUUAUUUUUCUGCUCUCAUCAGCCGAACAACACAAGGGAAAAGAGAGCUCCAAGCUUCAACUUUCUUCUUCAAAUUCCUCCAUCAAACUUCCUCCGUUUCACUUCAAAAUUUGACCGCACCUAGCUUAAACUCUUGGAGAUUACAUCUAGCUAAGAAAAGGGGGAGCUUUUCACAGUUUUCUUGGCCAAGGAGAGGACGAAAAUUUCUGUUGUACACAUCAAAGCAAGUAGGUACGAUCAACCUCGGAAACUUAAUUUAUGGAAGUUCUAGUGCACCUUUAAACUCUUACUUGCAUAUGGGUAGUUUGUUUUGAUGGAAAAUUUGGUUGUGUGGGCUCUAUGAACUCCCGCCUUGGAUAUAUGGACUGAUUUGUGGUGUUUUGAUGGUAAUAAUGUUUAUUUAGUGCUUAAACUAGUGGAUUAAUGUUGGGUUAUGAUGGAAACUCAAAUGAGUGCAAUGGGAAAAAGUGACCAUUUUACCCCUGCUUUGUUCGACCACUUUCGUGCAAGAUUUUGAGGUUCUAAUGGCUCUUUUAUGUUGUUUACAUGUUAUACUGAUUGUGUGAAAAGUUUCAUGGAAAAAUAAUAUGAUUUGGUUGGUUAAAUGAAGUGAUUUCCAAAGUUUAGAAAACUGGAAAAUGAUUCCGUCACUACCAGACAGUCAUCUUGUUUCGGCUAUAAUUCAUUGCUCCAAUGUCGGAAUAUAGUGCUGUUUGCGGCACUGGAAACUAGACAUUCCCAGCUUUCAUUUGGUAUAAAAUUCACAUUUUGGUUCCACUCGAGUGAGCCAAACCAUUCGUUUGAAAAUUGCUGUCUGUUUCGUUUGUCACUGGGAGGCAGAUUAUGAACUGCGAUUUGAUGCUCACGUAUGAGCUGGUUAUGGACAGAUUUUGAAAAUGGUUUCUUCUGAGAAAAUGUAGCCUUAUGAAUCUAUUUUCCAACGCUACCAACUACACUUAAUUCUGAGUUGAAUUGACUGAUUUGUGAUCGAAAUUCAAAACUGACUUUGUGAACGAAAACAGUGUUUUUGGACAGAUUUGAAACUAACUACGGUUUGGGACUUGUUAUCCAAAGUUUCUUAUUGUAAAUCAUCUAUCGAAUGUACCUUGAAUAUAUUUUGGACAUUUCCUAAUGGAAUGAACCAUGUUGGAGAUGUUCCUUGACCAAAUGUUUGGAAACGGCAAAACGGAAGUUCAAAGGCAGCUUAGCCUUAGAAUUUCUUGUGAUUUCAACGGUUUUGUUAACCCACUUUCUGUGCUUAUUUCUCCAUGAAAUUUGGUAGAGGAACAACCCUUAUAUGUAGUAUUAUACUGCUAAUUUUAGUGUUAUUCUGAGGCCGUUUCAUUGCUCAACUAAACUUCCAAAGUUCGUGAAUUGAUUUUGGAAAACCGUUGUUUAACAGGAAAUUUGAGUAACUUUGAGCUACCAUAUCUUGGUGCUCGAAAUUUCAAUUCUCAUUCUGCUUAUUUUGUUUUAAACCUGGAUUACAACUCUAAUAGAGUUCCAAAUUUUAGAGGCUAGCUCGAAUUGUAUGAAUUUUGCCAAAUUUUCAAACUUUGUCGAAAAUCAACCCAAAUCUGUCUUGACUUUCUAAAACGGCAGCUUUGGGCUAAAUUUCGAAUAUUUUCCAAUUAGAAUCAUGGAAAAGUGUCUUCUAGGAACUUUUAGUACUUUGGAAGUAAUUUCAAUGGCACCAAGUUUUCAAUUUUGGACUUGUAGAGAAUGAGAUACGAUUUUCCAAAGUAUGGGUGACAAAUCUGAAAUUUCCGAACUUAAAGGAAAUUGAGGGUUGCGAACUCUCUAUUUUCCUUCGAUAUUGCUAAACCGUUUUACACUUGAUUUCAAAGAUGAAAAUUAGAUUUCGCUUGUGUUUUAAAAUCCCAUUUUUGAGUCUUGAUUUACGAGUAAUUAAGGCUCAUUUUCGUAAAUUUUCUUAGAUUGUACAAGUGUGCAAUCUUUCUCGAUAAUUAGGGGUUUUAAGCGAUAGUGUGUAAUAGAAAAUUACUAUUUGCUCAGGUGCUCAAGGAGACCUACAAGAGGAUCUCGAAGGGACCACCUAAAGGCUUGUUUACGCACUUACUCCCUUGUUUCGAUUGGUGAGUGUCAAGUGCAUGAACUUGAUGUUAAGUGGUUAUCUGUUUCUUAUCCGUUAUGAAAAUUUGAAAUUUUGAGACGAGGGUGUACUUUACAGCACUCGUGCUCUUUCAAAUGAAAUUAUAUUCGAAUUUUGCUAUGUGAAUUCAUAUCCAACUUGUACAUGGUAAUGUGGAUGUGAUUCGUAUUUGUUUUGAUUCGUAUAUGUGAUCUGUAUUUGUGAUUCCUAUUUGGAAUCGUCGAUUUGAGCGUUGCUCGUCAACUUAUAUUCGUAUUCGUAUUUGUAUUCGUAUUCGGGAGACGCCCAAACUCGUUGGUUAACUUUGCGAAUCGAGCCACCAUGGGCUUGGUCGAUAAGUUUAGCCAACCAUGAGAUAUUCGUAGAGUAUGAUCUAUUGGAGAGAUCUUGCUCGGCAUUACAGUGCAUUGCCAUGAUAUACUCAAGUAUUAUCAAAAACUUUGAUGAGCGGGCCCGGUAAGGGGUGUAACGGUGACGGGAUUCGAAGAAAAGUGGUGUAUCUACGGAUUUGAUACUUAUGUGGUUGACGGAGUGUCAACGAAAAAUGUGAUCAAGACUUCGACUCAACUACGUGGAAUUUAGCUCCUGAGAGCUACAGUAUCCUUGAAUUGUUUCUGUUUAUUUUUCCUAUUCGAAAUGUGAAAUAGUUCGAACUUUAUAGCUUUACUUACUAUGUAAUUUGUGGCUACUUGGAUUAUGUGUUUGCAUGUGUGUUUCUUGGCCUCACUGAGUAUUGGCUCAUCCCAUUAGUUUGUUUUCCUUAACAGGUUGGAUUGGAAGAUUUUGGAAAAAUCGACUAGAUUAUACUUUUGAUUGGAAUCUGGGCUGUAAAUGUGUAGUCGACUUUUAAUGGUUGUAUUUUGGGACUUGAUGUAUCUUUUGUGAACAUGAUGUAAGAUUUGAAUAUUUAGUUAAGGAAGCGACUUUUCUUUAUUUCGACUUGUAGUAUUUGGUAUGUAUUGUUAAGUUCGAUUUGAAUUGUCUUGAAUUCUGGCGAGAGUUGGGCAGGCGUCCCGCGGAUACCCUUGGGUUCGCCCUUGGGAGAAGUGGGGGCGUCACAGCUAUGGUCAACAAUGUUGGGUUUGUUCUCUUUGAUAUUUACUUGAAAAAAGUUUGCAAAACUUUAGGAAGUUAAUGAAUUUAUACGGUUGGAUUAGUACAAUCACAAUUUUAUAUCUUACCUAGUUGUUUGUCAGAAGUUCUAAGUGCUUUAUCUCUUACUUUGCUCUUAUUUAGUCACUAUCUAGAUGAUACUUAAAAGAAAUGAUUUAGCUUAUUUUCUUGCAAAUUCUUAAGUUCUCUUUCUUGUCUCAAGUUUUUCUUAUCACCCACUAAUAAUUGAAGUACUUCACUGCAGAUAUGUUGCUCAUUAUAGACUUCUGGAAGAUCAGCAGCAAGAGUUGCUAAUUGACUCAAGAACUAUAGAGAAAAUCUUAUGCUCAAGAAAUGUUUCGACAACACUUUUUUUGGGGACUUGGAUUUGUUUUGUAAAAUUACCUUGACUUAUAUAUUAAAUUUAGGCUAAAUACCCCUUAUCAAACUAUUUGUAUGGUGUUAUUGAACUUGAUUAUGAUAUUCGAAUGCUUAAAAUGAUAUUUUAGCAUUUCACAAUGUAAUGGAUGCCUUCAUUUGUUAAUUGUAAACCAUUGUCUUUUCUUUUUUCAUAUUUAUGAUAUAAUUUAGCAGGAAAAUCAUCAAAUUUCAUGGUGGCAAAGUGUUGUCACUAAAUUAGAUUUCUCCAUUGACAACCACCUAUUGUUAUGGAAUUGAAAACUGUUUAGUGACAACAGAAGUUGUCAGUAAUUAGUUUAUACUAGUUGACACUAUGGAUUAGUUUUAGUGACGACAUUGCUUUGUACAUCAUUGACAAGAUACUAUGUCAUCACUAAAAUUACAACAAUUACUGACGACACUAGUUGUCGCAAAAUAGUUCCAUUCACUGACGACUUUUAAGGUUGUCACUGUAUACUUUUACCGACGGGCCUUUCAGUGACGACUAGAAAGUUGUCAAUAAAACUUAUCAGUGACGACUUUUUCUUUUUUUGUGAUGAAAAUGGCUUGUCACUAAAAACCAAUUUUCUUGUAGUGUAAUUAAUUGCCGGAUGGUAAUCUAUGACUAGAAUUGGUUGGAUACUUUUCUGUAUCCAGAAUUGAUCCCUUAGAAUUAUAUUUAAUGAUGUAAGAUCAUAAUAUUCUAAACUAGGGCAAAUUAAUAUAUUCUUAAUGCAGACAUUAAUUGAAAAGAGGAGCUCCUUUUAUUCAUUGUGCGUGUAUGGAUACAAAGGUUGUUUGGUGACUGAAUCUUGAUAACAAAUUUUAGGAUUUAAAUUAAAGCACUUUGAAAUAGUUGGCCUACAUGCUUCGUGGAUCAUUACUUUUUAAGUCAUCCAGUAAUAUAUCUUGUGUUUACGAGGGAUUAAUUUCCUGACUCUUAUUUAACUAAAUAAUCUAGUUUAGUGUCUUCUUCAACUUGAGCAGGGGUUGAUCAUGAUAUAUAGAUUCGUUGAUGAAGUUAAACCAAUGAUUUCCAUCAUAAGCGGUCCAAUGCGGGGGACUGGUGGGAUUUCCAGCUAAUGAAAAUUUAAAAACAAUCCCAACUGAACUUGCAAACUAAAUCUAAUUUCUGUUUCCCAGGUUUCCACCGCUCCUAAUUUUAAAGCCUGUUACUAUACAGCAACAGAUUUCGAGAUGAGAACAAACAAACCCUUUUAACUACUUUUGUACAAGAAGAAUUUUACGAGGCUUUAUUUCGAGAAAGUGAGAACAAACUUGAGCAAUAGAUCAAUGCCAAGCACCAUGGAUUCAAAGAAAACAAGGAUUAAGGAUGUCAAGGAUAAGCUUCUUCACUUAAAACUACACAUAUAAAGAAAGAUUUUAUUAAUUUGAGUACAACUUAAAUUACAUCAUGUAUUAAAACAUAUUUCCUCAAAAAAUUGCUUGACUUCCUUAAAUCCGUCUUGCAAGAUAUUCUAAGGCACAAAUUACCUACCAAAAAAUCAUUUUAAGUGGUGGACGUUACUAAAUUUAAUUUAACCAUAUCCUUUGAUGCCUUACCACCACCUAGAUAUAUAGAAAUAUAGAUUAAUAUUGGAUGGUCAUUUGUUUAUUUUUUCGGGUUAAAAAUUCUCUUUUUGUUUGGAAUUUUUCCUUAAAUAAUUAUUAAGAAUGCAAGCGUAUUGUCGUCUCAUUGAAAGAGAUAUCUAGCCCUAUCAAAUUGAUAGGAGAAGUAAGUGAGAUUUUAAAAAUUUCAAGGAUGUAAGUGAUAUGAAGAGAAACCUUAGAGGAGGUUUCCUUAAAUAAUUAUUAGACUUCCCAUGACAUCUUUGGUGAAAUUUAAGUUCAUAAACAAGCUUUAGAAUAAUAUAUAUCUAAUGAUAAAUGCGUACUCGAUAUGUAUGUAAUAAAGAAAUCCAUAAUAUUUAUAAUGAAUGAAUUUUACAUAUAAAGUUUUACUAAUAAAGAAAAUUUUGAUCUUCUAAACUAUUUGACAAGAUGAUUGUUAAGUUGGCAGUUACUAUUUAAGGGUGGUUACAUUGAAAAAAAAUAUAUGUCUAAACAGUAAAUUGAAAAAUUCUUGCAGGUAGUUAUCUUGACAACGUGUGUUUAGGUAAUUAAAAUAAAAUUAGCUUUUAUAAAGACAAAAAUAAAAGUACGUAAAGCGACAAUAAAAUAUUUACACCAAACCCUCUCCUCUCCCUUUAUAUAUACUAUCUAACCCCAAUUUUCUUCUUUCUAGAAAUAAAAUCCAAGUAGUUUCCAUGUCAUCCAUGAAAGUUAUCUCAUGCUUCGCUCGAUAAAUAGUCUAGGAUCUAUUUUUUUUUAUAUUUUUUAUAACACCUUAUUUUAUUGAUUGGAACCAGAAGAGUUCAUGCUAUGAAAUUCGUAAGUAAGGAAAACUCAAUCUAUCUAAAGACAACGAAACCUUUAACUGGGUCUAGCAAAUGUUGGGAGCGAUAAAUAUCAGACACACGGUUUGCACUGGCGCAACAAGCAAGGGCAUCGGCUGCAGAGUUGGCUUCCUGAUAAAUGUGGAGAAGGUGGUGUAAAGAUCGAAAACAACCUAAGAGGGGGGGAUUAGGUAAAUUAAAAACUAACCAAGUUAUGAGACACUUAUUGCUCAAUGUGAAAUUUACCCUCUUUUCUAGAUGACCACACAAUGGAACAAAUAAUGAGAAAGUACAAAUGCUCGUGAGUAGAAGAGAUGAACAACUUAUAUUGCAAGAUAGUAAAUGAAAGAGAUAGAAUAGCAAACCGAAUUCCAAACUCCUCUUGAGUUUGAGACUCACUUUAUAGAGUAAGCUUCUUCAAGUUGAUCAAUUAUAACCAAUCUUUGUGUACAAAGAAAGAAUCACUUCCUCGUUGCUCCAAAUCACACUUGGUCAAGUUAGAAAAUUUUACUAUCACUCGGAUAACCCUCACAAAGUUACACUAUUGAAGUAAUUUUCUCACACAAGAAAAACUUAUGCGAAAUCUAUAUAACUAAGAGUACAAAUCUUCUUUGAAAAGAAUUUUCUCACUAAAAUUGUUUAAAAUCUGUUGUAGUCUCAAUGUGCAAAAGUAUUUUUAAGUGGUUGAUUUUGCUCUAUUUAUAUGAGCCCAAAAAAUUCCUCCAUUAAAUCUUCCAACGGAUAGAAGGCAGCUGAAGAGUCAACUAGCCGUUGGCAGUAUCAGACGUCCGGUAGUCUUGUUUCUUGCGUCCGACAGCAGGCAGAGAGCAAAAAAAAUUUUCUUUAAUUCUUUCGGACGUCCGGUGUCUACAAAGUUUACGUCCGAAAGCAGAUGGUAAAGUUUGAGGAAUCUUCUUCAAUUCUUUCGGACGUCUGGUAUCUCCAGUGCUCUGCGCCCGAAGUGUUUCGCAGUUUAUCGGAUGUCCGAUGCUUUAACAUUUUCCGUCCGAUCGAGAUCAGUAAGUUUAGAGAAAAUGUUUUAAUUCUUUCAGACAUCCGGUGAGGGAGUUCUUCAUGCGUCCAAAGUUGCUCAAUGAUUGUCGGACGUCCGAUCCAGUCUUUGUGAGCGUCCGACCGCUUCAGCACUCUUUGUCUUUUCUAAAUGUGCUUAAUCUUUAAACCUGAUUUGCUCUAUUGCUGAAAAGAUCUUUGAAGAGAGAAUUAGUAACAUCCAUUUUUUUAUAAACAUCAAAAGUUAGGGACUUAGAUUUACAAUCUCUCCCCUUUUGAUGAUGACAAAACAAUGGAUGGAGAGAAAAAGAAUCAUUGAGUCAAAACUUCCCCUUAAUGCAUAGUGUAAAAAAUUCUAAGUGCCACUCCUUCUCACACAUAUACCAGAAGACUUUAAAACUUCCUGACAUUCCAUUUUCUUAUUAUCCUCAUCCAUUUCUCCCCCUUGUUGUCAUUAUUAAAUGAUUCAAAUUCAUUUCACCACUUCCAGCAACACAACAUCAAUGUCAUCAGCAACAUCAUUAACCAAGAAUACCAAAAACAGCAUUAACCAGCAUCAUUAAUCAAAAACCAAUAUCAGCAAUCACAGAGAUGCCAAUCAUUCGUAAAUAGAGUUAACCAAACAAAGGAUGACCAACAAAAGUAACUAGAAAUCAUUCAAAAUAUAAAAGUUAACCAAAGUUUACAAGCCAAUAGAGUUAUCUAAACAACCAGAAUCCUGAGUACAGAGUACUUGAAAUGUUAAAAUGUAGAAGAUACAAAUGACUAGUAUGAGAUGCCAACUUAAACAUGAAGUGCACGUGCCUAGAGGUGCCUAAAUUGAGAUCUUGGACGAUCCGGGCCGCCUCCUAGUUAGGUGAAACUGAGCAAGAUCCACUUAUUCUUCUUCAAUCUCCUCAUCAUCAUUAUUGUCUUCAGUUGUUGGAGCUUUUCCCUUAUCCUUUGGCUGAGAACUAGAAGCAUGAACUUCUGGAUUGGAUUUAGUAUGUGGAGUGUGUUCAGUUGGCUCAUUUUCUUGAGGGAUAGGGGGCACAAGCAAGUUCCUUUUGGCAGUGAAAGAGGCUUGUUGUUCAGGUGACAUAGUCAUCAUCAGACCAUCCUCUAGAAGAAAAAUAUGCUGUCGGAGGUCCUCAAGUAGGGAGAUGACCUCAAAGUUAGAUGAAUAGGCCCUAGGAGAUGACCUUCUAGGAUGAAUAGUAAAGGGUGAGACAAACAUGGACUGAUCUUGAGGAGAUCUAUGGGUGACAGGAGUUUCAUGACGACUCUUAGUCCUAUUUUUCGAAACAGUUUUCUUGUGGCACCAAUGACUGUGAGACCCCGAAAUUUUACUUUUCUUUAUAACCCUUGUGUGACCUCGCUUACCUUUGAUUCUUGGUUGCUUUAAUGAUUGAAUUUGAGUCAAGGGAGUGAAUUUUGUUAAGAAAAGUUUCAUAAUCUCAAGUUGUUAGAAAAUCAAGAAAUUUUCGCAGGAGGCUCUUCGCAACUUUGGAAAAUUGGCAAUAACUUCGUAUACGAAAGUCAGAAUUGAGUUCCAUUUGUUGCGUUUGAAACUAGACUCAAAGGGCUUCCUACAAUGUAAAAUUUAGAGUUUGAUUCAAUCUUUAUAAAUUCCAAAAAAUUGGCAAAGUUGAUUGAAAAUUCUGCCCUGCACAAGUAACAACAAGAAUGUUGUAGUAGCUUAUAGCCCAAUUUGGACCAACUUAUGAAUUGAAUCUCUUUGAGGUGUCUUCUAAAGAUUAUUAGUAUUCGAAGUCUAGUUUUUAACAAGCUAAGUUUUAUGAAUUUUUAAUAGUUAUAACUCAAGUUAUGAUUUUUCUAAAGGGAUGGCAUAAGUUAGGGUUUUUUUGUGCAUACUAGGGUUUUUAGUGUGUUUUGGUGCAUUUUGGUAGUGUGAUCAUUUGGUGAAAUGUGUGUACUAAAUUUGGUGAAUAAGAAUGAGUAUUAGGUAAGAAACGUGUAUGAUUAGAAGUGUUAAUAAUAAGUGAGUGAACCAUAAGUAAAAACACAAAUACGCGCGAGUUAGAGAAAAACGGCUCGAACAGACAUGCAGCGCUUGUUACCGAAUGAGUGCACCAUGUUGAUCUUGAUCCCUACCUUUUGAUGUUUACAAAACAAUGGAUAAUACUAAUAUCUCUUCAAGAAAUAUUUUCAGUUAUGAAGCAAAUCAGAUUCAAAGAUCAAGUGCAAAUGAAAGGGACAAAGGCUGCUGAAAGCUGUCGGACGCUUGUUCGGAUGUCCGAUAAUCAUUGCGCAACUUCAGAUGCAUGAAGAACUCCACCACCGGACGUCCGAAGGAAAUAAGACAUUCCCCCGACUCACUGACCUCGAUCGGAUGGAAGUAUCGGAUGUCCAAUAGAUCGUUCAAAUUCGACAAAAGCUGUCGGACGCUCACAAAGACAAUACCAGACAUCCGAUAGAAUUGAGAUAUUCCUUCUAACUCAUUGUCUGCUUUCGGAUGCAAGCACCGAAUGUCCGAUAGAAUUGAAGAAGAUUUUUCAAACUCACUGCCUGCUAUCGGACGCAAGAAACCUGACUACCGGACACUACAAGAAUUUUGGUCAUCAGUGACAACUACCUUUCGCCACAAAAAAUCAAAAAGUCGUCACUGAUGACCAUUAUUGACAACAUUUCGGUUGGCGCUGGGUCGUCACUGAAUCUCCGUCGGUAAAAGUAAACAGUGACAACUUUAAAGUCAUCAGUGAAUAGCGAGUUUUUUAUGACAAUAUAGGUCGUCAGUAAAGGCAGAAGUCGUCACUGAAUAAAACUUUUUUAUGACAACCUAUAUCAUCAGUAAAAGCUAUAAAUCUAGUGACAACAUUUUUUCUUGUCAAUGGUGCAUGAAGGAAACGGUAGUGAGGGUAUAUGGGAAUUAGUGACAACUUUGUUGUCAAUAAACCCCUUAUCAACUGUGACUACAGCCCCUUAUCAAUGGACAGUUUUGAUUGAGUGACAAUAACAAUUGUCAAUAAAGACUAUUCUGCCUGAAAAAAUACUAUUCAUUUACAGCACCUUACAUAUGAUUUUCCUACUACAAUAAUAUCUAAAAAAUGAAAAUAUCGGCAAUGUUUAAUAAAUAACAAACGUAGGCACCCGUUACAAUAGAAAAUGCCAGAAUAACAUAUUAAAUAUUCAAAUAUCAUAAAUAAGUGCAACAUCAUAGUACAAAUAUUUUCAUAAGUUUCAGUAGAACAAAUACUACUCAUAAGUCAAGGCUGCACUAAAAAACAUAUUCCAAGUCCCAAAACAUUUUCCGUGCUACCGAAACAUUUUCUAAACUUAAGACAGCACUAUAACCACAGUUUUUGGGUCGACAUGUAAGCCGUACUGCUAAUUUUCUUCGAAACCUCCAAAAUGAGCAAUAUAUCUGCAAUAAAGUAGUAAAGUUAUUAGUAGAUGAUAGAAAAAUUUAAAUGGUGCAUAGAAGACCUUGAAAUCUGAAUAUACAGGAUACAGGAUAGAAUACAAAAUAAAUGACUAACAGUACAAAAACAAAGUUCAUGGUCACAAAGAGAAAAUGCUUUUUAAGAUCAGUUAAGAGCAGUGCAUAAAAACACUAACGAGUUAUUAAAUAUUAUGUGUGUGUGUGGUUCUGGGAAUUUGGUUCAAAAGUUUUAGUAAACUUCCUCUCCUUCAUUUGGGCCGCAAAGCAGGAAUCAGUGCAAAUAAAGACAUCAGUAUAUCAGUUUAAGCUUCUUUAGAUGUCGAGGAAGUAAUUUACAUCAGAAUAGAGAAUAUGCCUGUAGCUAAUGUAUUUAAUUCCGGGAUUAAACACCAUAUCAUAUUCAUUAAUCAAUACCAACGUUAUUGUUCCAUAAGUUUAAAGUUCUUCUAGAUUUGUCCAAGCAGUAGCUUUAAAUCAUCAGUAAGUCAUGCAAACGUGUCAAGCUACAUAUGCGGCUACAGAAUUGACAGAGAAUUAUGAUUUAUGAAUGUUCUACUCAAACUCUUGCCAUGCGAGGGGGCGAAAAACACAAAAUUGCAAUUCGGACAACUCCAGCAAAAAUAAAAAUGAAAACAAACAUGUGAAAUAAAGUUAAAAUUCUAGUAGAUUAAACAAAUUAAACAAAUUAAACAAAUUCUAGUAGAUCCAGUGAAAAUGAAAAAGCAACGAAAUGUCUUCAUAGCAGAGAUAAUAUUGAUAUUAACACAAUAAAUUUAAGGGAAAAUAAAGGAGGGGGAGGAAAGAACUGAUAAACAAAAGUAGUACCGGUUGGACAAAAAUUUAAGGACGAAAUUGAAUUUAUUUUUCCCGCCACACAGACAAUGAUCACCAUAUCAGCUUAGUUAGCAACAUAGCCAGGGCCAGCUAAUCAAACCAGAAGUUUCAGGGAUGAGGAGGCAAAGUUUAAGCUGUGUAAGGUUCGAUCAGUACAGUUUGGACAGAAGGGCAUUCCAUACCUGAAUACCUAUGAUGGUCGUACCAUUCGUUACCCAGACCCACUCAUCAAGGCCAAUGACACCAUCAAACUUGACCUGGAGAACAACAAGAUUACUGAAUUCAUCAAGUUUGAUGUUGGGAAUGUUGUCAUGGUGACUGGGGGAAGGAACAGAGGUUGGGUUGGAGUACUCUAAAACAUGGUAGGUCCAUAUACUUGAUGUCAUCAUAAAAGUAUAUACACACAAGGCAGCUUGUAGUAUACGUACAUAAACAAGCUUGAAUAUAGGGAAGGGAAAAGGAGCAACCAGAAAGGAGAAAUCCUCAUUCCUCUAAAUGCUAGGCGAAGAAUCAUGUCAUGUUCUAAUUUUCAUACAUGACAAACAAAUUAUUUCAUUUUGUCUUCAUUAAUUACAUCUUGAUCAUCCAAAAAUUUCACUUCAUCCCCAAAUGGAACCAACCACAAAGUCACACAAAUGAAAAGCAUUAAGUUUUCAGGACACUCACAAGAAAUCACUUGCAUGAUAAUCAGCCUACCAUACAACUUAUGAUUAGAUUUUAAUAUUCUUUUACAACUCAGUCAAAUCAUUUUUGAGCUUCCUAUGGUGUGAAAGUGGUAGAAAAUCAGAUUGAUAACAAUAUUAGCAGUAAUGUAAGAUCUUUAACUCAAGGACCAAAGCCUUUGACACAUUGAUGCAUCACCAAAAAUGAGUGUGAACACGAUGGAGUCAACAACAAAAAAGAGUGAUAGGAAAAGGAAGCAAUAGAGAUGCUAGAAAAAGAAAAUGAGAAAGGGAGACAGUGGAAGAAUUUUCAUUAUUCUAUACAUAUAUACAUCUCAGCACAGCAGAGCAAAAUAUUCAUGCCAUUUGAACAUGGGACUCUAUAAAUCAUCCAUACAGAAGAAAAAAUAUGGAGUCGAACACUAAAUAGGGAUUACCACACUUAGUAGCUAAGGGAAGUUUAAAAAGAAGGAAAGUACAUUCUAAGAACAGUGAGAUCCUACUUUGGCUCUUCGACACUAAAAGCUUGACUCCAUGUGCCUCUAGCUAUAAAGUAUAUGAACUUUAAAAUAUGAACUAGUUUUCUUAACAUUACCACUCAACAAAAUAAACUAAGACUCAUAUAACAGGCUUUUAAUACCAUCAAGUACCAAUAACACGUUCCUUUAACUUGUAAAGAAUCCUAAAGAUCCUCAAGGGCUAUUCCUUCUGGUCUUGUAAUGGUAAAAAGGAUUUCUUGUAACAUGAAACACUUGACAAAUCCACUUCGGCUAAAGAAAGCAAGUGGUGCCCAUGAAAUAGAUGGAUACACCAAAUCUAAUGGAUGUUGCCAAUUCAUCAAAUGCAUGAUUGAUAAAGGGAAAAUUUUACGAGACAAAAGCUUUUUUGUCUAAUAUUUUACAUAUACUUUCACUGGUGGCUUGUGGGUUCUAAAAUUUAUUAUUGGGGAAAAUUGUUUUUGGUACAGAUUCAAUGCAUCCGUCAAGUAGAGAGAGCAAGAGGAAGACAGCUUACAUGGGCCAAAGCGUGCCCAAAAGAGGAUGGGGCAAUGGGCAAAAAUUGUGGGUUCUCCAACGUAUUACCCUUCCCAAAUGAUAUGAUGAUAAGAGCUUAUGAAUGAACAUUUAAAGCAACUUUUGUUUCUCUCUUGGUAACUCAGUCUUUCUGUUUUGACCCCCUUUUGACUCAUUUUCUUUGCCUGUUUCUUGGAGCAUGCAUGAACAAGGGAAAUCAAUGGGUCCCUAUCUAUUGAAUUGAAUGCAAAUUGGAUAUAGUCAUACUCCCAAUAUAGAUUGAGGAUCACACAUGCACACACAUACAUUUGCCCAGUAGGUGGAUUCUUGGGACAGAUUGGGAGUUAACUAAUAUGGGCAAGUUCAAGGAUCCAAACUACAAAAGUUUUAUCAUCAAUUCUUGGAGAUGGUGGAGUUUGUUAGCCAGUCAUGAACCUUAAUGUACAACUAUAAUAUAUUGCCCAGAAGGCAAAAAGUUGGGGAAUGCUGUUGAAUGCUGUUGUUCCUCGAAUUUAAUAAGGACAACCAUAAUGGUAAAAAGAAUUCAACCAAGAAUGAACAUUUUUCUAAAUUGGUCUUGUACCCUGCUCUACAUAUUUUAUUGUUUUUGCCAUUUCCUAUCAAUACAGUUCAUUUCUUUCACAAUUUUCCAAGAGCAAGCAUCCUUGAACUGUUGGGGAAAACUCAAAUUAUCACUUAGAGAACACUAGUUUGAUUAUUGCAUCUUUCAAACCUACAUUUACACAGGUCCUGGAAACAUUGACCUCAAAAACUAAAAGAAAAUCAAACUUUUAAACUAUCAAAGAAGUUGUGUUCAGAUGUUAUUCCUUUAGCUUCUCAUGUGGGUGGAAACAGCUCCUUCUCAUCCAUUUGAUGACAUCAUAAAAAAAUAGCAAAGACUUAAUUAUAUUAGCAUUCCCCAGCAUUCAAACGUGACACCUUUUCCUUUCACAAUGAUACACAUUGCUGGGAUAGAACUUUAAUGUAGGAAUGUUUAACUAUAAGCCCAAGGGGGAACAUAUAUACAAGAGAACCAGUCCCUACGGCUUGUCCAAGGGAAAAAAAAUUAGGACCAGAAAACGCAUUUUUGUCAAGGAAAGAAACGGUUAAAUUGAUUAGAAAUAAUGAUUGUAAUGUCAUGCAACAAUAAUUGUUCAUAACAAUAAGUGACAAUAUUUUUGUUUUAAAAAAUUAAAAAUUUGCAUGAAGGACAAAGUCUCAGUAAAACACAGAACGUGAUAAAAAUGCAUCAAUCGAAAUUUGUACAGCUGAAUAUCUGACUUACAAUUGAGAAUGCAGAGCACUCUGCAUUGCUGAUCACUAAGUCUACAACUACAAAUAUUAGUUUGGAUUGAGAGGUGACUUUUCAGGAUGGUUGAUGAAUAAAGGAUUUUCGAGUCGUGGAUUUCCAUCAGGUACAUAAAACUCAGCAGCGGUGGUACGGUCAGGAAUGCCAAUUUCCCAAAAUUUUGGACCAUUUCUAGGAGGCGUAAAUACGAAUUCAAUCUGCACCAUUUUUAUUAUUAAUAGAACCCAUUUCUUUGCGUACACAAAACAUAAUUCUUUUUAUGAAAGUUAAUGUAUCUACUAAAACGGAAUUAGCAUACUAUACUAGGCAAUUUGUUUGUUUCAUUUUUCAGUUCCCAAGAACAUGAAAUCUAAUUUAGUGGGCCUGAAAAGUCAGUAAUUGGUUCUUGGUAAAACUAUCCUCACCCCCAACCUUCCUAUUCUCGUAACCACCUUUCUAUCAUACCGUAUCUUCCAAAUUCAGUCACCUAUUUGUAUGCUUUGAGUGUUUGGUGUCUCUAUAAGGGAUCCCGUGUUCUAUUUAUGUGUAAUGGUGUCUAAUAAGUGAUUGAGUUUUCUAUGGGUGUGUGACUGCACAUCCAUGUCCAAAACCCACAAGCAAGCAUAUUCCAAAAGGAGGAGAUGCCGCCAUCCAUAAAUCAAAUGAAACCCAAAAAACUGGACUGAAAUUUUUGGCAAAAAAAUUAAUUAGGGCAAACCAUUUGGGGAAAAUUAGGGAGGCAAAAGAGAAUCAGCAUACCUUUUUUUGUAGAGAGUUGCUGCUAAAUGUGGUCUUCUAUUUCAUCAUUUCCGAGCCAAGAUCGAUUAGCAGAUGGCGAGGAGAUGUUUCUUGGUUCUCGGCGAGGAGAUGUUUCCGGCAGAGAUGAGCAGUGUGUUUUUUGGUUCUCGGCAGAGAUGAGGAGCUGUGUGUUUUUUGGUUCUAAGUGUUGCUUGUUGGCUGUUGGCUCAUGGCUGGUAGUAGUGUUUUGUUCGGUGAAUGACUAAACAUGACCGCGAGUUGUUGGUUUCACUAAGUGUUCAAGACUUCAAGUCAAUUCCGCGCUUCUCCUCCAACUAUUGACUUUGAAUGAAAUUUCAAUUUCUUACAUUUCCCCCCUGCUCGUACCAAAAUUUCAACCCAAGUUUUUUAGUUUUGAAUUAAUAUUUUACUAAUAUAUUAUUACUUGCAACUUUUAAAUAUUUUUGUAAAAAUAUUCAUAAUAGGUAAUUUUUUUAUGACAUCAAACAGUUGAUCCCAUAUUAAUAUUGAUAUCACUUUCUCAAAAUUGUAACUAAAUUACAACUUACUUAUCUUUCUUUUCAUUAUUUUUCCCAAAACUCCAGAAUUUUUUUUUUUUAUAAUAAGGAGAGAUGAUUUGUUUCAAAUGGUUAAUUUCACUUCAAAUUAUUGCACUAAUAUUAAUUUACAUGACAAAAUUUGAGUUCCUAAUAGUUAAAAAAAUCAUUAGAGAGCAAAAACAAAAUAACAAUUGGUUGUCACUAAUGACCAAAUUUCUUGUAAUAGAUUUGCAAGAUAUAGAUUUAUGGGUAAUUUCUUUUUUUUUUUUGCUUUCACAUAUUUAAUUUAUGUUAAAUACAAAACCUACCAGUUUCCCUUUUAUAAAAAUAUUAGUGCAACACUUUUUGAAUUUUACUUACAAACAUUUAUGUAUUUAACAUAAAUUAAAUGAUUCAGAGUGAAAUGCCCAUAAAGAGCAGAAUAUUUGUUCAUGUAAUGGAGGAAACCCACAAAGAGUUGGUACUUUAUGGGCCAUUUCUUUUUUUAAAAAAAAUUAAUUUAUGUUGAAAAGAUAACCUGCCAGUUUUCGUUUUGUAAGAAAUCAGUUUAACACUUUUUGAAUUUUACUUACAAACAUUUAUAAAUUUAUCAUAAAUUAUAUGUUUGAGAGUAAAAUGCCCAUAAAAAGUUGGUACUUUGAAUAGAUAAUGUUCAUUUGCCCAUAAACUACACUCCCUGAAGGCUAUUUUGUUAAUUACUUUGUAGUACUUUGUUAUUCCUUUGCUAAUACUACUUGGCAUGUAGUACAAAGGAUAAAUCUGGCAUAAAUUUCUUAUUCCAUUGAUAAAAAGACCUGCCUGCCUUAUAACUAUUGUAAUGAAAGAUAUAUCUUUAGAGUUUAUAACAAAUUAUUACUUAAGUUUGAGAAAAUUAUAAAAUAUUUAUGCAUAGUUUAUCAAGAUACCAUUCGCAAUUUCCUAAUAAAAAAAUAGGGGCUAAAUUGUAAAAGUAGGGUGCCAUAAUAGAAAUAAUAAAAUUGGUGUAUUACAUAUGGGGGUUAAAUUGCAAAAGUUAGAGUGCCAUAGUAGAAUUAAUGAAAUUGGUGAAUUACAUAUGGGGCUAAAUUACAAAAGUUAGGGAGUAAUAACAGAAUUAAAGAAAUCGGUGUACUACAUAUGGGGCUAAAUUGUAAAAGUUAAGGUAUCAUAAUGGAAUUAAUGAAAUUUUUUACAACAUUUGGGGCUAAAUCGCAAAAGUUAGGGUGGCACAGUAGAAUUAAUGAAAGUGACUUAGAAAUAAGUACUUUAAACAGUGACGAUUAAUUCUUGUCACUAAAUCCGAAUCGGUAGAGUGACAGUGACGAUAUUAGAAGUUGUCACUAUAUAGAUCAUUUUAGUGACAACAUUUUUCAAGGUCGUCAAUGAAGACUAGUUGCUUUGAGCAAUUAUGACAACUUUCCUUGUCGUCACUAACAACCACGUUUUAUGACGACUUUUGUCGUCACUAAACAAUGUUGUCACUAAUGACAUAUUUCUUGCAGUGUAGUUUGUGACGAAAAUAACGGGUCGUCACUAAAUUUAGUUGCUUUGAUGCAAUUGUGACAACUUUAGGUGUCGCGACUAAAGAAUCCCCUUUUAUGACGACUUAUUGUCAUCACUACAAAAUGUUGUCACUAAUAAACUUUUUUUUAGUGAUCAGUGACGACAACAAAAAGUCGUCCAUAAAUAGGCCAAGCAAUAGUGAUGAUGUUCUUAAUGUCGUCACUAUUGUGUGUUCUAAACACUCCCGCGCUCUUGCUAAAUCUUGGCAGGAAUUUACUAGUGACGAGUUGGCCUCCAUUAGAGGUUUGUGACGAGUUAGAAAGUCGUCAAUAAAGGAUCAACUUUUGUGACAACUUUUUUUCGUCACAGAGAAAAGUUGUCACUGAUGACCAAUUUUCUUGUAGUGGGACGUCCGAUACUCCAACGGCUAGUUGAAUCUUCAACUACUUUGUAUCCGUUGGAAGCAUUAAUGAAGCACUUUCUUAGUCUCCUAUAAAUAGAACAUGAUCAGAAACUUCAAAUAACUUUUGCAUAUUGAAGAUACAAAAGAUCUAGAGUAGUUUUAGUAAGAAAACACUCUCCAAAGAAGAUUUGUAGUCUUUGUGGUGUGAAGUUCAUUGUAAACUUUUCAUUUUGUGAGUGAAUACUUCAAUAGUGUAAUUCUGUGAGGGUUGUCCUAAGGGAUAGUAAAACUUCCUUGAUUGACCGAGUAGAGCUUGGGGUAAGGAGGAAGUGAACCUUCCUUUAUACACAAGAUUAGUUAUAUUUCAUCAACUUGAAGAAACUUACUCUAUAAAUUGAUCUACAAGCUCAAGAGGAGUUUGGUAGUCAAUUAGUUUGCAAUUCUUCCUUUCUUAUUUACUUAUUGUUAUAUUGUGAUCUUUUAAUUACUUAUCUCUUCUACUCCCAAGCAAUCGUGCUUUCUUACUAAUUGCUACAUUGUGUGGUCAGUCAGAAAAGCGGAUAAAUUUCAUUUUGAGCAAAAAGUGCCUAUAACUUGAUUAGCUUUUUAAUCAACCUAAUUCACCCCUCUUAGGUUGUCUUCGAUCCUAAUAAUUGGUAUCAGAGCUUGGUUUCCUUGAGAUUAAACUCAAUCGAUUUAGGAGUAAAAAUGACAACUAAUAAUGCCAUGUUUUUGAAGGACAUUCUAUCAUUAGACCACCUAUGUUUAAUGGGUCAAAUUAUGUGAGUUGGAAAGAAAGAAUAAUUAUCUUUUGCAAUCAAUUGAUAUUGAAUUGUGGUUUAUUAUUAGUGAAGGUCCAUAUGAUACCUCUCUUAUAGAUGAAAAUAUUCAUAGAUCUAGACAAAAAAUAAGAAGUGAACUGACUGCUAUGGAUAGAGCUCAUCUCACCUUAAAUGCAAAAGUCAUGAAUGUUUAUAUUGUGCUCUAGACUCAAAUGAAUCUAUUAGAGUCAAGGAUUGCAAGUCAGCUAAAGAAAUUUGGGACAAAUUGAAAGAAAUUCAUGAAGGUAGUGAGAAUGUUAGAGAACAAAAGAAAUCUAUCUUAGUUACUAAAUAUGAGUCGUUUAAGAUAGAGCCUCAUGAAAAUAUUGAUCAAAUGUAUUGUAGAAUCAAUGAUCUCAUUAAUGAUUUAGAAGUGUUGGAAAAAGAAUACUCUCUAUGUGAGAAAAAUAGAAAAAUCCUGAAUGCCUUGUCCAAAAAUUGGGAAAAGAAAGUGACUGCUAUUGAAGAGGCUAAAGAUUUGAAUACUAUGCCUAUUGAAUCACUUAUUAAUUCUUUGACCUCUUAUGAACUAAAACUUAAGACUAAGGUACAAGAGCAAGAAGAUGCAAAGGUAAAAAGGAGCAUUGCUCUAAAAUCAACUCAAGAUAAAGAUGAUUCGGCCUCCUUGGAUGGAGAAGAUGUGGAAGUUGAUGAUAGUGAUCUUGCUCUCAUCACAAGAAGUUUAAAAGGAUUCUCAACAAAAGGAGAUUUAGAAGAAGAGGACCUAACAAUUCAGAUUCUAAUCAAUUCAAUAAUGCAAGAAACAAAGGAAGAUAUGAGACCAACAAAAAGUAAGGUGACAAAUGCUAUGAGCAUGGCUAACUUGGAUACUAUAUGAGUGAGUGUCCAAUGAAGAAGAGGAACGGUGAGAGAAAACCAAGAUUCAACAAUUUCCAGUUCACAUGGAAUGGAUGCAACUCCGAUGGUGAAAUUGAAGAGGAAGAUGAAUCUGCUCAAUUGGCUUUCAUGGCCAUUGGACAUGAUGAGGUAACAAUUUGUAACUCUCAAUUUGAUAGUGAUGAUGAAACUGAUGAUGAUCUUGAAUCUUUCAUUAAAAAGUUGCAUGAUAGUUUGAAAGAAUCUUAUACUAGAAACAAGGAAUUAAAACACAAAAUUAAUUUUUUUCUUCAUGAUAAUACACGCCUUAUUCAAGAAAACAAGAUGUUGAAAACUGAAAAUGAUUUCUUGAAAAAGAAUGAGAUUGAUUUACAAAAUAAGUUUGAUAGAAAAACAAGGUUUUGUGAAAUAUUUAAAAAGGAGCAAGGUGAUUUGAAAAGAAAAAUGAAUAAUUUAAAUGAAUUGCUCCAACAUAAAAAAUAAAACUGUUUUCAAGGAAAUGAAACAAAAACUCAUUUUGGCACUCAUGAGAAGAAAUUAAAUUCUGGCGCAAAUAAUUUUGUAAGAUUUAUUAAACCUGGUCUUGCAAAUAACUCUUUGGUUAUGUGUAAUUUUGUUGUCAAAAAGGUUACAUGAAAAAUGAUUGCUAUGUGAGGAAAAACAUAAGAAGAGGCAUGAAAUGCAUAUAGAUAGUUAGACAUGAUACUAACUCUCAAUCACCCAAAAAUUAAAGAGUACCAAAUAUUAGUUCUUGAACUCUUGAGUAGGUGAACCUGGUGAACAUCAUUAAGGAAUCAAAAUAGUUCGUAGACAGUUGGUACUCAAGACACAUGACCAGUGAUCCAUCACAUUCAUCAAAUUCAAGCCAAAAUCAAGUGGCAAAGUGACAUUUGGAGAUGAUAUAAAAGCAAAAAAUUAGAGUAAGAGAUAUUGGUAAGAAUGAUCAGAUUUUUGUUCAUAACGUUCUUUUGUAAUUUUUUUAAUAUUUUUGAUAUUUUGAACUGAGUUUCCCUUGAUUUUUUUAAUAAUUAAUGGAUUUCGGUUGAUAUGAAUAUGGGUAUGAAUGUUGGUUUCAUUGAUGUUCAUUGUUAUUUUUUGGUCUCUUUUGAUGUGAUUUUUUGUUAUUGACUCAUGAUGGUUGCAGCUAAUGUUCUUUUUAUGGCAAUUACUCUCUACUUUUAUGAUGACAAAACGGGGGAGAAAUUAUAAAAUAGAUGUGGUUUGGGAUGCUAUUAGUAAGGGGAGUUCAUUUGAUACUGGUUUUGGGAUGCUAUGAGUAAGGGGGAGUUUCUCGUCAUUUUCUUUCCUUCCAUCCAUUGUUUUGUCAUCAUCAAAAAGGGGAAGAAUGUUGAUCUUGAUCUCUACCUUUUGAUAUUUACAAAACAAUGAAUAAUACUAAUAUCUCUUUAAGAAAUAUUUUUAGUUAUGAAGCAAAUCAGAUUCAAAUAUCAAGUGCAAAUGAAAGGGACAAAGGCUGUUGAAAGCUGUCGGACGCUUGGUUCGGACGUCCGAUAAUCAUUGCGCAACUUCAGACGCAUGAAGAACUCCACUACCGGACGCCCAAAGGAAAUAAUACAUUCCCCUUAACUCACUGACCUCGAUCGAACGCAAGUAUCGGACAUCCGAUAGGAUAGUUCAAAUUCGACGAAAGCUGUCGAACGCUCACAAAGACAAUACCGGACGUCUGAUAGAAUGGAAGAAGAUUUUUCAAACACACUGCCUACUAUCGGACGCAAGAAACUAGACUACCGGACGUCCGAUACUGCAGUGGCUAGUUGACUCUUCAAUUACUUUCUAUCUAUUGGAAGCAUUAAUGAAGCACUUUCUUGGUAUCCUAUAAAUAGAGUAUGAGAACCGUGAAUUUUCUUAUUUUCUAGGCUUUAUUUUAUUUGAUUACAUGCCUUUUAUGCAUUUUCUUUAUUAGGAAAAAAAAUUUCUAAAUAAUUUUAUGAGUAAAUAGGGUUUUUAAAUUAUCUUUCUAGUAUAAGUUAGUUCAUGCGGUUUUAAGAGUAUAUACCGGAUGUGGGACCCACUAGUACGUUAACUGCGGUUAAUUCGGCCAAUUAGGUUAAGUUUUGCAUUAAGGGAUUCAUUUACCACAUGUUAGGAGAUAAUUGGAAAUUAGUUAGAUUAAUUUGUAAGGAGAGACAAAAGGAUGAGAUCAAGCAUAGGAAUGGACAAGUGUCAAGUAACUAUUGGAGGAUGACUUUGACCUACUAUUCAUCACCUUUACUAAAUACCAAAAAUUGACCAAAAUCAUCUUCAUUCUUCUAGCAUCUUGGCUGAAUUCUUGAGGAGGAAAAACAAGAAGAAAGCCUUCAACUCCAACUCCAUUUUCUUGCUCAAUCUUGUGAAUCAACCGUUAAAAUUCCAAAUUCCUCCAUAAAAGUCACUUGCUUAGGAAGAUUGAAGGUAGUGGUGGAGUGAUUAGAGAAGGGAAAGGACUAAGCCAUCACCUUUCUUGAGAUUUCAAGGUAUCAUGUCUAGCAAUCCAUUCUUUGUUCUUAAUAAUGGUUUAUUAGUGACUUGUGUUGGCUUAAAAGGUGAUUUUGUGGAAGAUUUCAUGUUUUUUGGUAGAGAUUGAUGAAUUUCUGAUUUUUACAUGAUUUUUUUGAUUUCAUAUGUUUAGUGUUGGUUAGUCAUGGAUUGAUGGUUUGUUAUAGUGUAAAAUGGAGUUGGUAUAUGUUGGAAAUGAUUGGUUGUGUAAAAUUUCUGGUUUGAUACGAAAUUCCAGAUUAGGCUUUCAAUUAACCCCUGUUCUGUCCGAUUUUGUUCGGCUAGGUUGGAGGCCGAAUUAGUCUUAGAUUAAAACAUGAAAGUUGUAGAAAAUGGUGUUAACUAGCUUCCGGUAAAAUUUCAACUCUAUCCAAGCACUGUAGUAUGUAAAAUGACUGAAAUACCCUUGACUGCCCAUGAGCCCUAUUUCGCGCCUAGAUUUCUGUUUUCGUGGAUUUUUCCAUUUCUGACCCUGAAAAUGCAUGAUUUGGCUUUGGAGGUCUUCAUAAGAAAUGUAGGUAUAUGUCUUAGCUUCGAAACCCCAUAAGAUACACCUCAAUUGGACUUUGGUACCCUGAGCUAUGGUCGUUUUACCAUAAUGCAGUUAGCUAACCUAUUUUUGCGAUUCUUGUUUGGUAUAUUGCAAUUUUGACCUAGCUAUACUAUGAACUGGACUGAGUGGUCAUCAUCAAAGUUGUAGGCCUUUGUCUUAAUUCAAAAUGGUAUAAAUUUCAUUCCCAUCCGAUAAGUGUAGCCUCAGUUGUGUCCGUUACGCAUAACAAUGUCAAAUCUGUCUUUUGUUUUUGACUUAAACUUCAUUUCCGAACAUUGUCCUAGCUUGAAUUUGUACUUGUACCACUUUGAGCCUAUUGAAUGGCUAUUGAAAUGAGAUUAUUUUGUGUGUGAUUUUGGGAUUGAUUGAGGAAAAUAAUGAAGUCAUAAAUGGCUGGAAAAUAGGUAAAUACAGAGGGCAUGCUGCCCAAAAUUUUAGGGCUACGCGAUUCUUUCAAGUUGAACUGAUCUUGGUAAAAAUGAUGGGUUUUGGGAGUUGUUUGUAACCAUAGAACCAGCUAUUAUCCUUUUUGCUCAAAAGCCAUAUUUUAUUCUUUUGUACUAGUACUUAACCUGGAAAGGCGUAUGACAUGUAGUCGAGCCUCAUUUAUGCAUUCCAUUUACUGGAUUUGUGAUUGUGGGUGUGAGAACCCGUAAAACCCUAAUAUUUUUCCUAGGGUUUAUUUCCCCUUAAUUGCAUGUUUUCUGCAUUUUCUGGCUUAGAAAUAAUUUCCUGGUGAAUUUUAUGAGCAAUUAUAGUUUUAAGAUGAUUUUUCUAGCAUUGGAGAAAUUUUAGGAAGUUAAGAGUAAAUAGUGGACGUGGGACCCACUAGUGCGAAAAGUUCGGAAAAAUUCGGCCAAUUAGGUUAAAUUUCGGAUACUGUGUAAAAUUUAUCGGGUGUUAAGAGAUAAGUAGGGUGUGUGAAGUGAUUGAUGUGAGAGAGAAAAGAAAGAUAAGAAUGCAUUUAAUGAGGUGACAAGUGUCAUCUUCUCAUUGGUUGGACUUUAAGAAACACUAUUCAUUUUCUUGACUUUUUUGACCAAAGGAUUAAAUAUCAAAAAUUGCACAAAAUUCAUCAUUUUUCUCCUCCUUAUGGCCGGCCCUCUCUAAGCAAGAAGAAAGACAAAACUCUUCAACAUUCUAGCAAACUUCUAGCUCAAAUCAACUAAACCACUUGCUUAACUUAGUUUUCACUCCAUAAAAUUCUUCCUUCUAGUGCUAGUAAGUUGUUUGGUGAACUUUGUUUGAAGGACUAAGGUGCACAACAUCUUCCUCUCUCUUGGUUUUUGGUAAGUGAAGCUUGAAACAUCCUACUACACCUAAUGAUGCUUAUGUUGUGCUUAUUAGUGAUAAGAGUGCUGAAAUUUCUGGUUUUUAUCUUGGUUUGAAUUGAUUUGGUGAAGUUUUCCAUUUUAUGAUGAUUUUUCUGGUUUAAUUGGAUUAUGAUGGUGUGGUUGUUUGUGAUGAUUGGCAAUGGACUAUAAUGGCUCUAGUGGAUGUGAAAUGUGGAUAAAUGCAACCAAUUUUGGAUUUGGUGUGAAAAUUGAAAAGCUAGGGUUCUUAAAUCCCCAAUUCUGUCCGGUUUUGGAUCAUAGGGAUAGAGGCCGAAUUUGACUUUGUUCAAAACAUGAAUGUUGUAGGUAUUGAUGUGAUUGAGAUGUCUACAAAAUUUCAGGUCAUUUGGAUUAAUGUAGAAUGAGUUAUGACGAAAUUACUGUAGCUGUUCUGCUUUGGACAGAAUGCGAAAAUGGCGAUAGUAAUUGGCCAUUUUGACUGGAAUUGGUUUGGAUUUUGGAGUUGGUGUCUUCUGAUGAAAUGUAGCUGGAUGUCUUAGCUAACUUAUGCCUUUGGAAUUUCGGCAUUUGGACUUGUAUGGACUGAAAUAUACCGAUUACAGUUUUCUGUGUUUUGCAAACCUGUUUUGGUAAUUCUGGUAUAGUAUUUGGCAUUUUUGACCUAGUUAAGCUAGGAACUGGACUGAGUGACCUUCUACAUUGUUGUAGCCCUGAUUCAUAGCUUCGAAACGGUGGGUCUUACACCCCCAUCCGAUAACCGUAGUGAAAUUGACGCCAUUACCGCAUAAUGAGUGCAAAACAGUUUUUCAAGUCGGGGCCAAGACUAAUGCUCUUUUAAAUUUCUGAUUUGCUAUCAUGUUCAUUUAUGCAUAUAAAACCCUAUUGGGGUUGUGUUUAGUAUUGUUUGGUGACUCGUUCUCGAGUCUUAUUGUAUGUGUUACAUGUUUUAGGGCGUGACGGUAGCUCACGACGUCUUGGUGACCACGGUAUAUGAAACACCACUUUCUUGCUUGGUGAGUAUACUACUCACUUAAUUGUUACAAUGUGGCUUUGUUAUAUAUGAAUUUGAAGCCUUGAAGGCUUACUUGGCUAUUGGAAUUGAUAUAGGUGAGGGUGUACUUGAUCGCCCUCACCCCUUGUGAUUUCAUUCAUGACUGUCUACUGUUAUACUGAAAUACUGCACUGGCUAUAUGAGUUAUUGAAUUGCAAUCCUGGAAAACUGAUUUGGUGUUGUUUGGACGAUGUCCAACGACCUCACUGUAUUACUGAGCUCAACCUCGUUUGGUGGUCAUUUGGAUCGAGCCGGCAAGGGCUUGGUCGUGAUACGUGACAUACCACGGGACUGUACUGAGGAACCUUGUAGUAAUGAGACUCUCGGUUCCGGUAUACUCGAGUAUUACCAAAAGCUACUGAAUUGGAGUGCGGGCCCGGUUGGGGUAUGUUUGGUGGAAGGAAUGGAGUGAAGUGAGGUCUACGGUCGGGUAUUCUUAAACAUUGACGGAGGGUCAAUGAGAUUGGAUCAAGAAUGUAAACGUGGAAAUGGGCUCUUGAGAGCCGUCCGUAUCCUUUCACUGUUUGAUUACUUCUUAUUUGCAUACUUGAACUGAACGGUUAUGCUUAUGUGAUCUUAGCUGCUAUGGUGGUUGUAUUCUCACUGGGCAUAUAGCUCACCCCGUUUCUUUUGUUUUCCUUACAGGAAUGUGCCCCUUUUGGAAUGAAUUUUGUUAAAUGGUUGCCGAAUGAACUAGAUGAAUGCUUCUUUUGUGUUGUAUAUAAAAUGGGACCCUAAAUGUAUCAUUAGGGCCGUUUUCACUUUUGUUUUGGCAACCCACAUAUGUAGUGACUUUUGUAUCACUUUUAAAUGCCAUUGUGGCUUGUAAAUGGUUAAUGUUAUGUUGUAUAUGUAUUUCAAUGUUUGGUUGGGUUUCGGACGGGUCGGUUACUAUUCAUGACCGACUCUGGAUUUCAUUUCUUUUAUUUUGGGUUAUUUGCCCUUUUGCCUUGUUUGCGCACAUUAUAAGUUUCAAAACGUGAUAGAUCGCUUUAUACUGCACCGUUAGUCCUGGCGAGAGCUGGGCAGGCAGUCCGCUAACCCCUUUGGUUCGCCUUAGGGGAAAGUGGGGCUGUCACAGUGGGAACCAUAAUUGUUUACCUUGGUUAUUCUAGGGUUUCUUGGUGAUUAGAGCCUUACCUUGGUUGAAACUUUUGACGUAUCCUUGCUUUAACUGGUGAGUGCACCACUCCCCUGAAUUAUUGCUAAACUGGUUUUUUGUAUUUGUAAAUUGCUAUUUGAAUGUCUUUCCUGACUGUUUAUCUUGUAUGAGACGAGGGUGUACUUUAUCACACUCGUUCUCUUGCCUGUACUGAACGAACUAGAAUCUAUUACUUGUACUUGUUAUGUACUUGAACUUGUUACUUGCACUUGUUAUGAGAUUGUUUGGAAGUGUGUCCAACGAUCUUCCUGUUAAACUUGAGUUCAACCUCAUGGGGAGUUAAUUAAAUCGAGCCAGCAAGAGCUUGGUCGAGAUAAUUGACAAUCCAUGGGUACUUGUUCCUAGGGAAUCUUUGGGUAUUGAGACUCUUGAUUCCGAUAUACUCAAGUAUUACCAUUUCUGUUCCUGUUUGGCGUUCGGGCCCGGUAAGGGGUAUGUUUGGUGAAUGGAAAUUUGGCGUUAAAGUGGUGUUCUACUGGACUGGUUUCUUUAUUUGAAUAUUGACGGAGGGUCAACGAGGCUGGAUCAACUAUUGCAACGGGGAUUUGGCUCCUGAGAGCCACCUGUAUCCUUUAAAUUGUGAUGUUCGUUCAUUUCUUUUACGUGAUGUGUAUAUGUGUCCUAUAAGUGUUUUCUCAUGAUUUCUACUGUUAUACUUUUGGUACCUCAUUGAGCUUCUAGCUCACCCCGUUCCGUUAUCCUUGUUUUCCUUACAGGGAAUCACCUUUUGGAGACUAUGAUGUUUUGAAGCAUGAGUUGAGCUAGUUUUAAUAUUUUUUUGUAUAGCUCCUCGAUGGUUGGAAAACCAUAAAUGUAUUUUAAUCAAACAAUUCCCUUUUGAAUUGUAAAUUUGCAACCAUGUGUAUAUAAAAGUGUUUAACCAUGUUCAUGAGUUGAUUUGGUUUGGAAAUGUUCUUUUCUAGGGUUAUAUAAAGUUGUUGUGCUUGUUUGGGUUUUCGGAUAGUGAAUGUUAUCUUCUCGAAAUUCUUUUGAGCGGUUGGUAGGGUUUACGUUUGUUCCGGAUCCGCAGUCCCGGCGAGAGUUGGGCAGGCGGUCCGCCGAACCCUUUGGUUCGCCUUAGGGGGAGGUGGGGCUGUCACAUAGAGCAUGGUCAAAAACUUCAAAUAACUUUUGCACAUUGAAGAUACAAAAGAUCUAGAGUAGUUUUUAGUAGAAAACACUCUCCAAAGAAGAUUUGUAGUUUUGGUGAUGUGAAGUUCAUUGUAAGCUUUUUAUUUUGUGAGUGAAUACUUCAAUAGUGUAGCUCUGUGAGAGUUUCCUGAGGGAUAAUUAAAACUUCCUUGCUUGACCAAGUGGUGCUUGGGUAAGGAGGAAGUGAACCUUUUUUGUACACAAGAUUGGUUGUACUUCAUCAACUUGAAGAAACUUAUUUUAUAAAUUGAUCUAUAAGCUCAAGAGGAGUUUGGUAGUCAAUUGGUUUGCAAUUCUUCCUUUCUUAUUUACUUAUUAUUAUAUUGUGAUCUUUUAAUUGCUUAUCUCUUCUUUUCCUCAAAACAAUCCCAAACAAUAGUGCUUUCUUACUAAUUGCUACAUUGUGUGGUCAGUUAGAAAAGAGGAUAAAUUUCAUUUUGAGCAAAAAGUGCCCAUAACUUGAUUAGCUUUUUAAUCAACCUAAUUCACCCCCUCUUAGGUUGUCUUCGAUCUUAACACAUCACUUGAAUUUUUAAUAAGCCAAGUUUUAUAAAUUUUUGAUAUUUAUAACUCAAAUUAUGAUUUUUCCAAAGGAAUGACAUAAGUUAGAGUUUUUUUUGUGCAUACUAGGGUUUUUAGUCUGUUUUGGUACAUUUUGGUAGUGUGAUCACUUGGUGAAGUGUGUGUACCAAAUUUGAUGAAUAAGAAUGAGUAUUAGGUAAGAAAAGUGUGUGAUUAGAAGUGUUAAUAAUAAGUGAGUGAACCAUAAGUAAAAACAUAAGUACGCGCGAGUUAGAGAAAAACGGUUCGAACAGACUUGCACCGUUUAUUACUGAAUGAGUAUACCACUUGAAUACUACUGUAUUAUCUUAAUCUCCUUGUUAUUAACUGAGCAAAAUCAGCCCUAAAUAUCUCCUUAAACCAACCGAAAUUAUUGAUCAAAAUAAGAGAGAGAAAACAAAUUUUGAAAUUUCAUCUUGGAGUGACAAGUGGCAACCAUCCAAUGGUUGUUUGACCAAGCAAUUUUCUUUCCUUAUUAUCUUUUUCUUGGCUCCAUUUUCUUCAAUUCUUUACCUUGUUGGCCGAAUUCAUAGAGAGAGGAAAACAAGAGAGCAAAGUUCAUCUUCAACUCCAACUUCAUGCUUGAAUCUUGAGUUUUAACCAACCAAAUUUCAAACCACUCCAUAAAGUGCUAACUAAGAGAGAUUCCAAGGUUUUGGUGGAGUGAUAUGGGAAAAUAAAGGUCUUGGCAGCCCCUUUUCAUAGGGUUUAAGGUAACCUUGGCUAGCAACUUUCUUCUACUUCAAAUAUGUGCAAACUAGUAGUUUAAGAUUUUAAUUUUUGGUAGUUUUGUGAGAAAAUUUAAUGGGUUGAAGUAGUAUUGUGGUAAAUUUCAGUUUUAUGAUGAAUUUUCUGCCUUUAUAUGAUGCUUAGUGAUUGACCAUGGUUUAAAUAACUUUGCCAUGUGUAAUAUUGAGGAAUUAUAUGCUAGUUUGACUUACCUAAGGAAUUUCCAGCUUAUGUGCACAAAUUCCAGCUUUAAGGAUUGAAACUGCCCUGUUCUUACCAGCUUCAUUCGUCCAUGUUAGAGGCCGGAUUAAGCUUAGGUUAAAACAUAAAAGUUGUAGGACAUGAUGUUAUAUAGCUGCCUGUAAAAUUUCAGUUCAAUCCGAGCAUUGUAGCAUGUGAAAUAAGAAAAAUACCCUUGACUGCCAAAUGUAUAGUUUUUCGGACAGUUUUGAGAUUACACAAUUCUGGCUUUGUUUUCAUUUUAAUCCGUAUUAAAUCAGUAUUUGGCCAAAACAAGAAAGUUUUAGCCCCAUGUUUUACCUUUCUGACGCAUCUGAAAACGCUUUAAUCGGAAUUGUGUAGCUUGAGUUAUUACUGUUUGAAUCCAGUGCUGACAAACAGACUGACCAUGAACUUCUGGUUCUGUAAUCUGCAAAUUCGACCUCGAUAAACUAUGAACUGGGUUGAGUUAUCUUCAUAAAAGUUGUAACCAUUUAUCUUAGCUUCGACAUGGUGUAAAGUGCACCUCAAAUCUAAUAAACAUAGCUCUAGUUGUGACCAAAAUGCUAUAAAAUGUCAAAUAUGCUGUUUAGCGUUUGUUUUCAAAACUGAUUUCCCAUUAUCUUAUUUGACUUGUGUUGUAAUUGAAUGAUGUUGGAGCCUAUUGAAGGGCUAUGUUGGUAGCAUUACUUGUGUGUGAUUGUGGGACUGAAUUCAGAAAAAUAAUGAAGCCGUAAAUGGCUUCUAAAUAGGUAAAUACAAAGGGCGUGUUGCACAAAUUUUCAUUCGAGAGUUAGGCAUAUGUUCCUGCGACUUGAGCGACGAUUUGAGGUCAAGUUGGACUUGGAUCACUUAUGAUAUUCGGGUUUUCUUUAGUCAGGGUAUAUAAGCUAAAAUUUGGCAGAACUUGUACCCUUGAAAAGUGAAAGUAGCGACCCUUUCAAAAUAUGAUUUUCCCGGUCUUUGAUACCUAGUGUAACUUCUAAAGUCGAAACCACUUCUUGAUCAUAACUAAACAAGCAAACAUGAAUUUUUUGAAAUUUGUUAAGUAUCUUGAAUACUACUUAAAUGAGUUGCAUUUGCUUGAUUUUCUUGAAGCAAAACUCCUAUGUUUCGAACUCUAGAGAGUUUUACAUUCGUAAAUGAUAUUUUAUCACAAAUUUGGACUCCAAUUAAGGAGUUGGAUUUGAACGUGAUUUUUGAAAGGCCCUAGACAUUGGGUGAGUGCUUCCAAAUACUUGAUUGAACUUGACACUUGUUUUCAAUACUUGACCAAUGUGAUCGAAUGAUAUGUGAUUAGCAGGGUCGGGCAAGGGUGUACUUUAUCACAUUGGGUAUGCUUUUAUGUUGAUUUAGUCGAUUGGAGAUGUUAUCUCAUCAAAUUCUUGGGAACCUAAACCUCACUAGCAAGUUAAUCGAGUCGAGCCGGUAAGGGCUUGGUCGAUUAAAUAACGAACCAUGGGUAUCUAGUAUUGUCGAGUGGAGUGUUAUCUUCUCGACUAAUGGGUAUACUUGAGAAUUACCACCAGUGUUUAUCGUGGAGUUCGGACCCGGUAAGGGUUUGGAUGGUAGAUGGAGAUUGGAGUUAAGUGGUGUACUCCUGGACUAGUUACUUUACUUGAAAGUUGAUGGAAUGUCAACUAAUACUUGAUCAAGCUCUGGUGAAGAAAUGGAAAUUUGGCUCCUGAGAGCCAUCUAUAUCCUUAUACAUUGAUUGUUAUUCGAAGUGUUAUUGUUCUUUUCGAAAACAAAAGAGUUUUCAAUUGCUCAUUUUGACAUCUGCUAUUUGAAGUGUUGUUGCUCACUUUCAUGAACUUGUUAUGCUCGGUAUUUUGCUACGCGAUAUUUGCACUUUUCAAUAAUGGUCAACUUGCUAUUUGGAACCUCACUGAACUUUUAGUUCAUUCCAUGCCAUUUGUUUUCCUUACAAGGGGUACGAGCGAGACGUAAGACUGAUACAAGCUAGCAUAGUCUAGUUUUUGGAAAUUUUGCGAUUGUAAUCGCACUAGUCACUCAAUUAGGGUUGAAUGUAUUGAGAACUUAAAUCAUGUGAUAUGUUUGGGGUUGCAUGAAUGCUUUGAAUAGAAAUGAAUGUAUUUGUACAUUCCAAACUUGGGAAUUGUUAUUUCUUUUAUUCUCGAGGUUGCAACCUAUUUACCUGAUAUGAGUGAGUGAGUCCUGGCGAGAGUUCGGUAGGCAAUCUGCUAAAUCCUGGGGUACGCCCUAGGGAGAGGUGGGGUCGUCACGGAUGGUAUCAGAGCUGCUUGGCAUGGUCUCCACGUGGAGUGAGUUUGGGCCAAGUGGUGAUAUGGUCCCGAUUAUGUGAAUAAGUGUAAAAGGCCAAGUGUUCUUCUUGGACGUAAGCUAUGAAUCAUGCCUGUUAUAAGUGGAAAUCCCUUAUCAUGGAUAGAUAUGUACGUCUGAUAGGAAUCUCUGGUAGGGGUGAUUUACUCUUGGGACCAGCCGACUCGAGAUGUGAAUUAUCUUAUUAUGGAUUCUUGUACUUGAAUAUCAAAUAGUGGAGAGCACUAGAAUAAGGGUCUGUAUCUUGAUUGCACUUGAGAUAAGUUUGUGGUAGGACUAUAAGUGAGAACAAGCCACUUGAAAAUUGGAGAAAAAUCCUGUAGCAUCAAGUUUUGUGCAAGCAAAUGUUAGAAUUUUGAGGGCGAAAUUCUUUUAAGAGGGAGAGAGUGUGAGACCUCGAAAUUUUACUUUUCUUUAUAACCCUUAUGUGAACUCACUUGCCUUUGAUUCUUGGUUGCUUUAAUGGUUGAAUUUGAGUCAAGGGAGUGAAUUUUGUUAAUAAAAGUUUCAUAAUGUCAAGUUGUUAGAAAAUCUAGAAAUUUUCGCAGGAGGCUCUGUGCAGCUUUGGAAAAUUGGCUAUAAUUUCGUAUAGGAAAGUCAGAAUUGAGUUCCGUUUGUUGUGUUGUAAACUAGACUCAGAGGGCUUCCUACACUUUAAAAUUCAGAGUUUGAUUCAAUCUCUAUAAAUUUCAGAAAAUUGGCAAAGUUGACUGAAAAUUCUGCCUUGCACAAGUAACAAUAAGAAUGUUGUAGUAGUUUAUAAUCCAAUUUGGACCAACUUAUGAACUGAAUCUCUUUGAGAUGUCUUCUAAAGAUUAUUAGUAUUCGAAGCCUAGUUUUUAAUAAGCCAAGUUUUAUAAAUUUUUGAUAUUCAUAACUCAUGUUAUGAUUUUUCUAAAGGAAUGACAUAAGUUAGAGUUUUUUUUUUGUACAUACUAGGGUUUUUAAUGUGUUUUGGUGCAUUUUGGUAGUGUGAUCACUUGGUGAAGUGUGUGUACUAAAUUUGGUGAAUAAGAAUGAGUAUUAGGUCAGAAAAGUGUGUGAUUAGAAGUGUUAAUAAUAAGUGAGCGAACCAUAAGUAAAAACAAAAGUACGCGCGAGUUAGAGAAAAACGGCUAGAACAGACGUGCACCGUUUGUUACCGAAUGAGUGUACCACUUGAACACUACUGUAUUAUCUUAAUCUCCUUGUUAUUAAUUGAGCAAAAUCAGCCCUAAAUAUCUCCUUAAACCAACAGAAAUUAUUGACCAAAAUAAGAAAGAGAAAGCAAAUUUUGAGAUUUCAUCUUGGAGUGACAAGUGGCAACCAUCCAAUGGUUGUUUGACCAAGCAAUUUUCUUUCCUUAUUAUCUUUCUCUUGGCUCCAUUUUCUUCAAUUCUUUACCUUGUUGGCCGAAAUUCAUGGAGAGAGGAAAAAUAAGAGAGCAAAGUUCAUCUUCAACUGCAACUUCAUGCUUGAAUCUUGAGUUUUAACCAACCAAAUUUCAAACCACUCCGUAAAGUGCUAACUAAGGGAGAUUCCAAGGUAUUGGUGAGUGAUAUAGGAAGAGAAAGGUCUUGGCAGCACCUUUUCAUAGGGUUUAAGGUAACCUUGGCUAGCAACUUUCUUCUACUUCAGAUAUGUGCAAACUAGUAGUUUAAGAUUUCAAUUUUUCGUAGCUUUGUGAGCAAAUUUAAUGGGUAGAAGUAGUAUUGUGGUAAAUUUCAGUUUUAUGAUAAAUUUUCUGCCUUUGUAUGAUGCUUUGUGAUUGGCCAUGGUUUAAUAACUUUGCCAUGUGUAAUAUUGAGGAACGUACCCUUGAAAAGUGAAAGUAGCGACCCUUUCAAAAUACGAUUUUUCCGAUCUUUGAUACCAAGUGUAACUCCUAAAGACGAAACCACUUCUUGCUCAUAACUAAAUGAGCAAGCAUGAAUUUUUCGGAAUUUGUUAAGCAUCUUGAAUACUACUUAAACGAGUUGCAUUUACUUGAUUUUCUUGAAGCGAAACUUCUAUGUUUCGAACUCUAGAGAGUUUUACAUUCGUAAACGAUAUUUUAUCGCAUAUUUGGAUUCCAACUGUGAGAACCCGUAAAUUUCUUAAUUUGUAGGCCUUAUUUUAUUUAUUUGCAUGCCUUUUAUGCAUUUUCUUUAUUAGGAAAAUUUUUCCGAUAAUUUUUAUGAGUAAAUAUAGUUUUUAGAUGAUUUUUCUAGUAUCGGUUAGGUUUUGAGAAAUUAAGAGCGUAUAUCGGAUGUGGGACCCGCUAGUGCGGAAAGUUCGGAAAAAUUCGGCCAACUAGGUUAAGUUUUGGAUACUGGGGUUAAAUUAUCGGGUGCUAUACGAUAAUUAGAGGUUGUUAUAUGGAUUUGUGUGAGAGGGAACAAAAGGAUAUGUAUGCAUUAAAUAGGGUGACAAGUGUCACCAUUUGGUUGGUUGUACUUUAUGACCACUAUUCAUUUUCUUACCAAUUGACCAAAUAAAUCAAAAAAAUACCAAAAAUUCACCAUUUUCUUCCUCCUCAUAGCCGGCCUCUUCAAGCAACAAAAGAAAGAAAACUCUUCAAGUUUUUGGCUUCAAUCUUGCUCAAAUCUACCAAAUCAACCACUUAAACUUGCCUUUGUUCCAUAAAACCUCUUCAAUUAGUGUUGGUGAGGUGAUUGGUGAAGUUGUUUGGAAAGCUAAGGUGACUAGUUGCUCUCUCUCUUGUGUUGCUAAGGUGAGUUGUGAAGAAACCCCUCUCCUCCACCUAAUGAUGCUUAAUUUGUGACUUGAGGUAGUUGAAGUAAUGAUCUUUGGUGUUAUUUCAUGAUUUUUUGUUGAAUUGGUGAAGUUUUAUAAUUAUUGGUGAAUUUUCUGUUUUCAUAUGAUUAUUAUUAUGUGGGCAUGUAUGAUGAUUGGAAAUGAUAUUUAAGGAAGCUAGAAGGUGGAAAAAGUGGUUAAUUGCAGGAAAUUUCUGUUUUGGAAGAAAAUUGGAAAAGUUAGGGUUUCAUUGUCUUACAUUCUGCCUGGCACUGUACCUCAUAGUUAGAGGCCGAAUUUGUAACGACCCCACCUCCCCCUAAGGCGUACCAGAGGGUUCGGCGGGCCGCCUGCCCAGCUCUCGCCGGGACUCAGUCGUUCUUUAAUCAAAUCCAGAACAAAUCACAAGAAUAAAUAGGGCAGCAAUCCAAAUUUAAAGUGGAACUUAUAUACAUUGCUAUCUCAAAAGGAAGUACAACCAUCAAAUGUACAAAGGUUCUCACUUCACCAUACAACUAGCCCGUGCCAAGCACUAGGGUGAGAACCAUUACAAAAGAAACAAAAGACCUAGACUAGGCUAGUCUAGGCUCUCAUCCUGCUCGCCGUCCCCUGUUAAGGAAAACAAAACUAAAGGGGUGAGCUAAAAGCUCAGUGAGGUUCCAAACAGAUAAUCAAACAAUCAAUUCAAUACAUUAAACAUGGAGUAUCAAUAAUUCAAGAAAUAUUUACAAUGGAAAGCAAUAGUAACAUUCAUUAAAAGGAUACGGCUCACAAGGAGCAAUUCGUUCAUUCGUUCUCCUGACAUUUCCCCUUAUUCCUCCAAUCAUUUGAAAAUGCAUUUUUUCGUUUAUCAAUAAACCCUCGUUCGUUCGUUCGUUCAUUCAUUCAUUCAUUCACCCCCGUCCUGGCCGUUGGCCAGUCUCCACCAACCUACAGGGUAAUACUCGAGUAUACCAAACGUUCACCCAAGUCCCUAAUCGCCCGACCGAGUCCGCUUCUGGCUCGAGACGACCGGUAACAAGGGGCAAUGGCCAGUUCAGCCCAAAAGGCUUACAUUCAUGCGCAAGUAACAUUUCAAUCAUUAAAUCCUUGAAAAUUACACAGUUAUUUAGGUCGAGUGCGAUAAAGUACACACUCGCCUAGAAAACUCGUUUUGGAAAUCAUUAAAAGCAAUUAACACAUUAGCAAAUGAUAACAACAAGCCAUAAAGUCAAAUAAGGAACACUCACCUAGAUAUACAAAAUAACGUGCAAAAUAUCCUUCCGGAUAUUACCCUUAGUCACCAAUGAAACCUAAGGUUGAACAAGAGAACAUAUUACAGUUUAUCGAGCAAAACAUUUAAGGGAAACAAAGAAACCCGACUAAUUAGGAGUAAAACGGGUAAAGAUGACUUUCAAGUAAGAAGAGGGUUGUUUGAACCCCAGGAUGAACAAUCAUGUUUUAAAAUGGAAAAUCGGUCAUGGUAUUGGCCAAACAAAAGUAUACAAGUUCAAAUAGAAACCUAGCCCUCGAGCGAAAAUUUGGGCAGCACGCCCUUUGUGUUUACCUAAUUUUCCAGCCAUUUUGGCUUCAUUAUUUUUCCUCAACCACAACCCAACAUCACACAUAAGCAAUUCAAGUCAAGAGCCGUUCCAUAGGCUCACAAUAUCAUAAGAAUAAGAAUUACAACAAUCACAAGUGCAGAAAUUCAACUUAGCACAAGACAGAUUUGACGUACGAAUGCGGAAAUAACAUAUCCGAAGCUACGCUUAUCGGAUUGAGAUGAAACCUAUGCCGUUUCGAAGCUAAGACACAGAGAUACAACAUUCAAUGAAGGUCACUUAGUCCAGUUCCUAAUGUAACUUAGUCAAAUUCCAAAUUACUAAACCCGAAACCAAUUCGUCGGCUGUUUAAACGCAGAACACUGUAAUGGACAUAUCUCAGAGUACACAAGUCCAAAUCAGGUGUUCUUAGAGGCAUUUGAAAGCUAAUUCAGAAUACUACAACUUUCAUGUUUUGGAAAAAAACUAAAUCAGAAUGGAUCCUAGUCGAAAAACGUGAUAAACUAGACUUAACUGAUCACACGGACUGCUUGGGAAAUACUUAAACUAGUAAGGGUAUUUUGGACUUUUCAUGUCCUACGUUGCUCCGAUUGAGCUGAAAUUUUGUAGACACCUAUAAAAUACCAUUCUCUACAACUUUUCUUCUUUGACCUAAGGCCAAAUCGGCCUCUAAUAUAGGGCUACCAAACCGGACAGAAUAGAAGAACAAUUUUCCAGAAUUCUGAAAUUUUCAGUUUCUAGUGGAAUUUUCUCAAAUUUCUGGUUCUAAUCACCACCAAACAACCUUAUAUAACCUUAAUUACAACAUUUACAAUCAUACAACAAGUUUAGGCAGAGAGCUAUGAAACUCUAGCUUGCUUAUUCAUCCCAAAAUUCAUCACAACCACUUGCAUAAUCAUGAAAUUAAGCCAAAACUUAAGCUAAAAAUCAUCUUAAACCCAAAAUUUAAGCAACAAGGAUCAUGACCAGAUUUGUACCUCUAAAGGAAGACUUGGAUGAGUGAUAGUUCACUCCCUUUGAAAUUUCUUGGUUCCUCAAGCUUCCCAACUCACAACCUCCACUUUAAUCGGUUUGGAAUUGGAAUUCCUCACUUAGUUGUAGCAAAUCAAGAAGAUGGAAUGUUUUUUUUCUUGCUCUCACAUUCUCACACUCUUUGGUUCAGCCAGCAGCAGAAAUAUGGAGAGGAAAGGUGAAAAAAUUGGUUAAAUAAGAUGCCAAAGUGUCUUGGUCAAGAUGCUCUUAGGUGGCGACAAGUGUCGCCACCACCACCUUUCUUUUUUUUCUCUUUCCUUUCCUUCUUUUCUAGCCACUAGUUUUGGUCAGCCUUAGCUGUAAUAUAAGAAGAUAUUUUGCUCAAGUAUCAAUGAACUUGUAGGGUAAGAAAGUGGUGGUCAAGUGGUGCGUUCAAUCGGUAGUGCGCGGGACCCGCCGGUUCGCGCCGUUUUUCUUAAAAACUCACGUACUAGGGUUUUUACUUCCCAUUCACUAACCUUAUAUCAUUGCUACCAAUCACAUAUUAUUUCUCACUUAAAAUUCACUUUUAAUCCUCAAAUUUAAUCCUUACUCUGUACCGAAAAUUCAUCCGGCGAAAAAAUCGCGAAAACCCUAAUUUUGCUCCAAACUUGAAACCGAAGCGUAAAAUCCUAUUUUCUAGGUUUACUUACACUUAUUGUGAAAUAAUUGGGUAGUGGCUUUGAUAAAUAAUAAUUUUCAAAUAAAAGGGUAUUUUUGAGAAAAAUACAAGAAAUUUGAGAGUCCUCACAUUCUCUCCCCCUUAAAAAAAUUUCGUCCUCGAAAUUUUACCUUCAGUUGCCUCAGACGAGUCUGGAACUUGUCGGUUGUCUAAAGCAUAAACCUUUGCCGGUCUGCUAGUUCGUUUCCCUCCUUCAUUCACUUGUGAUUUAGCUCCAUCCAGUUGCAGAGUAUUGCUUUCACGUGACUGUCUCCUCGGACAGUUGCUAACUUGAUGAUCGCCACUUCCGCAGAUUAAACAUUUCCGCCCCUUUCUCCAACAAUCGUGUAGACACCAAAUUUUUGUGUUUUAUUAUUUAUUUGCUAUUCGUUUUUUUAUUUGUUCUAUUUUUAUUUUGUCACAAUUAGUUUUAUUUGCUUUUAAUUUUAGUUAUUUUAGCCAUUUUAACGUAGAAUUUCUCAAAGGAAAAAGAAAAGCGUUCAAAAAAAAAAAUGUGUUUUAGUUGUUUUAGAUUUUAGUUUCAUUAUUUAAAAAUGAAAAUAAAGGAAAAAAUGAAAAAUGAAAAAAUCAUAAUUUUGUGUCUUUUAUUUUUAGUUUAUUUAUUUUUGUCCAAUAUUGCUUAAAUUGUUGUUUUUUAAUUUUAUUAUCAUUUUUUAAAUUACUUCUUAAAAAAAAAAAAAAAAAAA